rnacentral:rRNA from 1 species
UACGUAGGGAGCAAGCGUUGUUCGGAUUUACUGGGCGUAAAGGGCGCGUAGGCGGCAAAUUAAGCCAGCUGUGAAAUCUCCGAGCUUAACUCGGAACUGUCAGCUGAUACUGAUCUGCUAGAGUGCGGAAGGGGCAAUCGGAAUUCUUGGUGUAGCGGUGAAAUGCGUAGAUAUCAAGAGGAACACCUGAGGUGAAGACGGGUUGCUGGGCCGACACUGACGCUGAGUGCGCGAAAGCCAGGGGAGCAAACGGG